CCUACGGGUGGCUGCAGUGGGGAAUUUUGCUCAAUGCUCGGAAGAGUGAAGCAGCGACGCCGCGUGAAUGACGAAGGCCUUCAGGUCGGAAAAUUCUUUCGACAGGGAAGAAAAUACCUAUAAGUAACUGUGUAUGUAUUUACUGUACCUAUAUGAGCAGCCCCUGCUAACUCCGUGCCAGCAGGCGCGGUGAUCCGGAGGGGGCUAGCGUUGUUCGGAGUGACUGGGCGUAAAGGGCACGUAGGCGGUGUUGUAAGUCAUUAGUCAAAGACUAGAGCUCAACUUUAGUAAGGCUAGUGAUACUAGAAGACUAGAGUAUCAGAGAGGAUUGCAGAAUGCGUGGUGUAGCGGUGAAAUGCGUAGAUAUCAGGCGGAAGACCGUUAGCGAAGGCGGCAAUCUGGCUGGAAACUGACGCUGAGGUGCGAAAGCGUGGGUAGCAAACAGGAUUAGAUACCCUGGUAGUC
rnacentral:rRNA from 1 species